rnacentral:rRNA from 1 species
AUGGCGGAGAUGCAGCACGUGGUGAAGGUCGAGGAGGGCCGCCCGGCCGCCGACGGCCGGCCCUCGGUGGGGCCCACCUACCGGAGCGCCUUCGCCCGCGACGGCUUCCCGGCGCCCGUCGACGGCCUGGACAGCUGCUACGACAUCUUCCGAAUGGCAGUGGAGAAGUAUCCAAACAACAGAAUGCUUGGUCACCGUGCGAUUGUUGAUGGGAAGGCUGGUGCAUACGUUUGGAGGACAUAUAAGGAGGUGUUUGACAUUGCAAAUAAAAUCGGUAACUCUAUUAGGAGCUGUGGACUCACGAAGGGCAGUCGUUGCGGUAUAUAUGGUGCUAAUAGCCCUGAAUGGAUCAUCACGAUGGAGGCUUGCAAUGCCCAUGGAGUCUACUGUGUUCCAUUAUAUGACACUCUUGGGGCUGGUGCGAUAGAGUUUAUUCUGUGCCAUGCAGAAGUUGAGAUUGCCUUUGCAGAGGAGAAGAAAGUUGCGGAGCUCUUGAAGACAUUUCCCAAGUCAACUGAGUUCUUGAAAACCAUUGUGAGUUUUGGUAAAGUGACACAAGAACAAAAGGAAGAAGUUUCCAAGUAUGGGCUCUCAAUAUACUCAUGGGAUGAGUUCAUAUCUUUGGCAGGUGACCAAGAAUUUGAUCUUCCAGUGAAUCAAAGGACAGAUAUAUGUACUAUAAUGUACACUAGUGGAACUACUGGCGACCCCAAAGGUGUACUGAUAUCCAAUGCGAGCAUUAUCUGUCUCAUUGCAGGUGUGGACCGGCUUCUUAACUCUGUAAACGAGCGGCUGGAGGAAACAGACGUUUAUAUGUCUUAUCUUCCUCUUGCUCAUAUCUUUGACCGAGUUGUGGAAGAGCUGUUUAUGUUCCAUGGUGCAUCUAUUGGAUUUUGGCGUGGGGAUGUUAAGUUACUGGUUGAGGAUAUUGGUACACUGAAACCAACUAUCUUAUGUGCUGUGCCACGUGUUCUUGAUCGGAUAUUUUCUGGGCUUCAAGCUAAAAUCUCAGCUGGUGGUUUCAUAAAGAGCACGAUGUUCAAUCUUGCUUACAAAUUCAAGCAGUUUAGAAUGAUGAGGGGAGCUAAGCACAAUGAAGCUGCUGCAAUAUGUGACAAAGUAGUUUUCAGUAAGGUGAAAGAAGGUCUUGGAGGAAAUGUCCGUGUAAUUUUAUCCGGAGCUGCCCCACUUGCCACUCAUGUGGAAGAAUACCUGCGAGUGGUGACAUGCGCACAUGUUUUACAAGGAUAUGGUCUCACGGAAACUUGUGCUGGAUCAUUUGUCUCGCUACCAAAUCAGAUGUCCAUGAUAGGGACUGUUGGUCCUCCAGUUCCAAAUAUUGAUGCCCGCCUAGAAUCUGUCCCUGACAUGAAUUAUGAUGCACUUGCAAGCACACCUCGUGGAGAAAUCUGCAUCAAGGGAGAAACAUUAUUCUCAGGGUACUACAGGCGUGAAGACCUUACAGAGGAAGUUUUGGUUGAUGGAUGGUUCCAUACAGGGGACAUUGGCGAGUGGCAACCUGAUGGAAGUAUGAAGAUCAUUGAUCGGAAGAAGAAUAUCUUCAAGCUUUCACAAGGAGAAUAUGUAGCAGUUGAAAAUUUGGAGAACAUUUACGGUGUUGUUUCUGCUAUAGACUCGAUAUGGGUAUAUGGAAAUAGUUUCGAGUCAUUCCUUGUUGCCGUAGUCAAUCCUAACAAGGAAGCCCUUGAGAGCUGGGCUGAGGGAAAUGGAAUCAGUGGUGAUUUUGAGGCACUAUGUGAGAAUCCAAAAGCAAAAGAAUAUAUUUUGGGGGAACUCUCAAAAACAGGAAAAGAGAAGAAGCUCAAAGGUUUUGAAUUCAUAAGAGCUGUGCACCUUGACCCAGUGCCGUUUGACAUGGAGCGUGACCUGAUCACUCCAACAUAUAAAAGGAAGCGGCCGCAGUUGCUCAAGUACUACCAGGGCGCAAUUGACAACAUGUACAAAAGUGCUAAAUGA